AACCCCAGGUGCCAGAGUCUUCCCUGCCCUGUACAGCCCUGCUCAUGCCAUGGUCUCCUGUGGAUGUUCCCUCCUUCCCACGUUGGCGGUAUUGCUGUCCAAGCUUUGCAGGGGAGGAAUCUGAGGAAUUGAGAAGUCAAGUAACACACCCAAUAGGAUAACUAGGCCUUCUUGGCAGCCAACCUCGAAGCACCAAAUCGGGCUUUGAAACGCGCGGGGCCUUUGAGAUUCAGCACCUCUGAAUCUGAAUUUACGCCGUCUCACUUGCUGGAAUCUACUGAUCUGUCCACUGUUCCUGGAAGAAAUACUUUGUUUUCAUGUGCCAGUUGCCUUUCCAGCCUGACUGUCAGCCCAAGGUCGCAGGAGAAGAUCUGAUUGCAUGUCCUUGAUUUUGCUGCUCCCAU